CCGGGCCUGCCCAGCCCUCGUCUCCAGCCGUCCGUCCCAGCAGAGAGGGGCUGCCUCCCCUCCAUCCCUCAGCAAGGCCGUGGGAGAGAAGUCCUCGAAUGGCUGCUCUGGCUAAGCGGCCACUGGUUCAGCUCCAGCUCAAAACGUUAAGCCAUCCAAGAGGGAAGCUUUCCUUGGGGAUGCAAGACAGAGGCAACACUAAAGGUGCGUCUUAUAGGAGAGGUCAUUGUGUACACAAAUACAUCCUGUACAUCUUUGGAUCGUUGCACUGAUAGAUGAGCACCAGCCUCGUCCAAAUGCCAGAGGAGGUCUGAGAUGUAAACACAGAGGAAGAUUUUCAAGGAAGAGAUAACUGAGAAUGUAAUUACCUGUCCAAGCCGACUAUUUCCCUACAGAACUGACUGUGUAACUUAGAGGAGCGGUUUGAACAGUAGAGCUGGUUUUCACUGGCAGCUUGGCCUCUAAGCAGAAUGUUGUGAGCAGCAUGACAUUCCAUGCCAACUGCAAACUUGCUGAGAGGCUGGGGAAAGACCCAACACGGAACCCCCAGCAGCCAUGGCUGUGCUGUUGGGAGCUGCUAGCUGGCAGCUGGCUCCAGUCUGUCUCCACGGCCCUGGCAGCAAGGUGACCGUGCAGUGAGAAGUGCUACUGCUCACUGUGCAGCAGCAUGUUGAUGGUGUCAUGUCAUCUGUUCCCUGAAGGAGCCUGGGUUUGCAGUGCAGAAGGAUGGGAUAAGUAAGGAAUUAAUUCUUUCCACUUUUGCAGUCUUUUGACUUAUGUUCUGAAUUGCAUCAAACACCUAUCUUUUGCCAAACCACCCAGUAUUUAAAACAAAAUCCAAAAAAAGCUAGGAAAACUAAAGUUCAGAGUCAACCAAGGUUAGCUCCCCACCCUUGUAAAAACUAGGAUUUGUAAAGCAUUCUUAGUGCUUGGCUAAAGGGAAAAUGCCAUAUUCAAGAAGUGAUCAAAGUUGUAUCAGAUAGAGGAUAAUUAGCAGAACAUGGGAAGUUGCACUGACAUUAAUGUUCUUGGUGACAGCAGGCUGCACUGACAAACGUACGUUUGACAAAGUGAUGUAAAAUGGUAGCAGAUCACCUUAAUCAGAGGGAUAGAAGAAGGAGCUGCAUAAGGGCAUCCUUAGAGAUUCUUCACACGUGCAAGAGCUGAUUGCCAGUGCCAUUGCUGUGUCAGUAUCUUUAAUGUUUUAUCUUUGAUGUUGGCUCAGCAUACUCUAGGACCUGCAGUUUCUGCAUAGAAGGAGCUCUUUAGGCUGCCUUGAGUUGCCAAGCUGUCUCCAGGUCAUGCAGAGGAAAGAACAUCCAUAGAAACAGAAGUGGAAAUCAGUGGAAGAUGUAUAAAGUGAUGCCAACUUAUGAAAAAUCUGUAAAAAACAUGGUGAAACUGAACACACUGUGCAUUGCAUUUGGUAAAAAAACUACACAGAAAAUUGUCUGUAUAUAAGCUGGGAAAUAUAAAGAAUUAUAAAAUGUAUGUAAGGACUGAGCUCUCUGCUCCAGAGAGAGCAUGGGCAGAUUUUUCCCAGCCACAAAGCACUGCAGAGACUGCAGCAAAGUGCAGCAAGUGGAGCAUCAGACAUGGAAGACUUCAUGGACAUCAUGGACACUAGAGCUGACAAUGAUAUAAACAGGAAGCUGCUCAGGAACAGCUUAUCCUGGAACAGUUCACCAAAUAUGCUAUUCCUUUUAACAGAUACUGCAUGGGCAGUUUCUCAGUUGUAGUGCAUACUUAUUAGAGGGGGAAAUAUCUGGAUAAUUGGUAAGUUCUUCAAGAGAUGGCAACUAAGUUCAAAAAAUUAAAGACUGAACAAAAACAUAGAUUCCAGUGAGCUUCUGGUGACUGCAGAUUUUGAUUUGGUUAAAAAGUAAUCAGAACUAGGGUCUGGAGAAAUUUAUCCUUGGAAGGUUGGUUUAGUUGUUUUUUUGUUUGGUGUUUUUUUUUUUUGCCCACAACAGUACCCAAUUACUAUUUCUGAUACUAUAAUCUACUUUAAUACGCAAAUUCCCUCGAACAGCAGUCAGUCCUAAUAUAUCCCACUUCUUUUCCCAUGUCCUUCACCACAUAUUGCUUGCUGUGCUAAGUGCUAAAUGGCUCUUGGAAAGUGCUAAGAGGGUGUUGUGAAAGGGCUAAGCCAAGUUUCACAAACAACUGCCUGUGCAGAGAAAUAGUCCUGUUGAUAGGUGGUACCAGGAGCACCUGGUUGAAGACCCUUGCUUUGACAAGAUUGGAGAACUGAACUUCAUGGUUGCCUUAAGGUAAUUUAAAUGAGACUUUUUUAUCUUGUGGAAGUGAAGGUUUCUUUGUCCCUAACUGAAAUGAAACUACCGAAUGUUUUGUCAGAAAUAUUUGACAAGAUCAGUAUGUUCCUGCUAACUAGGUAAAGUUCAUCCUCUCUGCCUGCUCCACCAGCAACCACCUCAGCCAUCACCUUUGGCACCUGGUAAUUCUCAGAAGUGAAAAGCAGUUCCUGGAAGACGAUGGAAAGGAAGGCCCUGAUGUGAACUUGUCUUCUGAAGAGCCAGACAAAGUCAGGAAGAAUCCCAAAGUAUCCACACGGCAAAGAGUAUCCACACUGACUUGCCAAUGCUUGCUCAAACAUUUCCCAGCUAAUCACCAUUUUCUGGCCAUUGGCAGAAGUAAAAAAAAAUUGACUGAUGUGUUUUAUUUUCUCCACAAAUGGCAUCAUGUUGGGGUCACCAAUAAGCAUUGCCCAGUGUAUAAUCUACAAUGUACCUAUAGCAUACAGUCAAUAUGAUCUAUGUCUGCAAUCUACAAGUAGAGGAGGAGAACCACCAUGCAAGAAUCCCCUUAAUGGCAAGAAUGUUUUAAGAAAGGGGAGCAGAUGGGGUCUUUCAAGUGAAGCAGUUUCCCUGUCUGAGGUUACAGCUUGUCUUCAUAAGUGUUGGAAGAUGUGGGUCUUGCCCUGUGUGCACAUGAAUUGGGAUCACAAGACACCCCUUUGCACUGUUAGUCACUGUCACUUGGGGCAUCUCUGUGACACUGGGCUGUUGCACAUGGAUUUACUCCAGGGAGUGCUGACAUGGACUGGCUUCCAGCCCAAGAGAAUGUUGUGUGGAAUAGUUUUCAAACUUUGUAAGAAUCAAGAUGAAUGACAACUGUUACUUCCUCCUUACCUGCAAAGAAAGGUGUGUGGGGCCCAUGCUGACCUAAGCAGAGAAAGACACAUUAAAGUCCGGAUUAUCCCAGAAAGCAGCAAAUCAAGACAACACAGUCAAAGCAGAAGACCAGAAAUAGCCAAGGAAGCUUGGAGAAGGAGGUGUUAUGCCACUGGGAAGCACUGGUGACUCCAGAGGCUGUGAUGACAGGGGUGCCACAGCUCUUCAGAAGAUGCAAUGCUGCGUGGCACAGUGCUGUGUGAGCAAGACCACGCUAAUUCAGCAUCAGUCAUCUCAGGGGUAUCUUUAUCCAUGAUACACUUAAUCCCAGAUAAUCUAGAGGUGACUAACACUAUUUAUUGUUAGGCCAUGAAAACUCACUCUGAAUACCUGUACUAGCACUGACCUUUCUGUCCACUGAGUCACUGUUAACUCUUAUUCUUGCAUGCAAAGCCAGGCACAGCUCUGAUCCUUGGUCCCCCUUCCCAAUCCCUCCAUAACACUUGUUUCACAACUCCUCUUCCCUCCCUUGUCCCUGUGCCUAUGCUGGGCUACUUUCCAGCAGGGUAAAGUCAAGGCAAGCUGUAUAUACACAAGAUUCCAGUAGUUUAAUACUUCUCAAAGCUUACUACUUUUUUAUUGCUUUCAAACGGAUGCUUUUGCUACAUAGCUCUAUAGGACAAGAGGCUGCUUAACUGGUGGUCCGAAACUGGCGGCUCAAAUAUAUGUUUAAUUAAGUACUUAAGAUAACUGAAUUGCUUUUCAGAUGUUCCAUCCACUCAAACUCCAGGCUGUUUAUGUAUCUAGUGAUAUUGACGGGUUUGGGGGACAAAUUUACAGAAGUAUUUUUGAAAACCACAAUCAGUAUUUAUAUUUGAAGUACAUAACAUCCUGGAAUUAUCAUCAUCCUGUAGUAUUCCUUAGGUCCUCUGAUUCCUUGUCUUUCCUUCCUCUUAGUGAUCUUUUACAUUAUAUGUUCCUUGGACUUUGGAGCAGACAUUGCUUUAUAAUGUCUUCCUCAAGGUGCCAAAAUGACCAUUGACACCUAAAAGGACUAAAAAGUCAUUAUGUCCCAUCUACUGCUAUUUUAUUGUUCACAGAAAUUGACUUUAAAAUUUGUUAUGGUUGCUGUUUGUCACAACAUCUGAUUUCUGUGCAUGUGGGAGGCUGUUGAGAUGUCUAUAUGCCUGCAAUACAUCCUGGUAGCUGCUGUCUUGGUCUGUGGCUCAUGCCCUUGGAUUACCACUCUGCAUUUCUAUUUGCUUAUCAGUUUUCCAAUUCUACAUUUUUCCCCAAGUUCCUCAAAAACAGAAGUGGAAGAAUUCUUGUGAAAGCAUCUGGAAAAGGGCAUUUUGAUGGAGACUAGAUAUCUCUAAUCACUAAUGGUCCAACAAUCACCAGCUGAAAAAUUUAGUAGGGUGACCAACAUUACAACAAAUCAGCUUGAAUUAGGAGGCAUUAUAUUGUUUAACAAAAAGGACAAUGAGUCAAAACCAGUUUCUUCUAUCUGAUAAUGCAACUGCAAUUGCUCCUAGGAUACUUCAUACUGCUGGCUUAAAAAUGAGGAUCCUUUCCCUGGACCAUUUGCAUCUUGGCACACAAUCUCUAGCUCAUUGUGAUUCUAAACAGUGUACAGGAUCCGAAACCAUGCUUAGUCAGCCUGGCCAGCCACCUGAGAGCCAUGAGCAAUGUCCCCUUUAUGACUGCUCACUUCUACUUAAGGAGAAAGGAAAAAAGAAAAAAGGCAAGGAAACCCAUUCCUCUUGACUCCCAGAGAUAGUAUCGCUCCUCAGAUCUUCCUUCAACAUCACCAGCCUCUCUGAAAGCAGAUGCACAUUCAGAAGAAGAAAGAAAGCAUGGCUUGUGAAAGGUAAAAUGCUCUCUGGCCUCCCCUAAUUGCAGAUCUGAUACAGAAGGACUGGUUGAAAUAGUGUUUUGCUGGAGGUCAGAUUACAUAAGGAGCUGACAAUCUUCCUGACUUCACAUAUUGAAACCUUAACAAGACUGAAAGCCUAAGAGGGAAGCCAAGGAAGAAGAGCUCUGGGAGCUCUGCUGGCAGUUGGAUACAUGGAAAGCUCUACUGUGAUGGCUGCUGGAUUUUUGGUGGUCUUGCGCACAUGACCUUACCUGAUAUCCCAUGAACUGUGCAACUACCAGUAACUAUUUGAUGAGACCCAGAUAUAAUUUCUGUGUUUUCCUUUUCUUAGUAUUCUGUCAACCCUAUGGUUUAACAUCGUACCU